rnacentral:rRNA from 1 species
ACCGCCCGUCACACCAUGGAAGUCUGUUGCACCAGAAGUCGGUAGUCUAACCGCAAGGAGGGCGCCGACCACGGUGUGGACCGAUGACUGGGGUG